GGAUCCGGCGCUCCGGUGAUCCCAUUUGGCGUAUCCGGCGACCGAUCAUCGGAUUUUGAAGGCCUUCGCCAGUGUCAGAGGUUGGUGCUGGUAUUUGCUCACGAUCUGAAGGCCACAAUUUUUCAAAUGUUUCAACCAGUGAAGAUUCUGAUUCUGAAAUACUGUAAUCCGACAGGGUUUUCUUCUCCUAGUCCCCCUUGUUUUCCAUUCAUUCUAUUUGUUUGUAUCAUCAAAAGAAAUUCAAAUUCUAUCAAUUAGGGGCCACACGAGUCUGGGGUAAAGAUCGGCAUAAAAGAUUCAAUGGCAAUUCUCCAGAAAAGACUACUCGGUCACCAUAUUUUUUGCAGUCUUAACUUUUGGUGUGGUAACCAAUCUAUUAUGUUUGUAGUCAUCAAACACCAUAAUUUUCUAUAUUUAUUUAUUUAUUUAUUUUGGUUAAAUCAGCUAUUCACUUCAAGGUAUCUAGUCUUUCAUGUAAGUAGUAUUAAUUCCCUUCCCAUGUUUCAUAUGAUCAUUUUGUUCACCUUUUCCUCUUCCUCAGACGGUCUCCAUGGUGGCUUCUUUAUACUGAACAACCACCACCCUGCAUGGCUGAACUUUGUAUACCUUCUGCUAUGUGCAUUUGGGUUUUGGAUGUUGUAAGUAUUUAA